rnacentral:lncRNA from 1 species
UGGGGCGAAGUGAGCUUUGGUUUGGUGAUAACUGCAAGGACCAUGACGGUUUCAUGCAUAGCUGAAAUAAAUGGUGUCUUGCGUAGAAAUAACACUGGGUUUGCGGUUUUGGCUGUAGUGUUGGUGGUGAUGUCCGGUGAUGAUGGUUUGAGGAUGAACUUGUGAUUGCUAAGAAUGAAACUGUAUGUGUUGAGGAAGCCGUCAUGAAGUAUGCGUCGAUCAGAUUCCCACGGGCGGCCUAGGAGUAAAUGGCAAGCGUCCAUUGGUGCGAUAUCGCAAUAAACUUGAUCUUUAUAUGAAGG